ACUCCUACGGGAGGCAGCAGUGAGGAAUAUUGGUCAAUGGAGGGAACUCUGAACCAGCCAUCCCGCGUGUAGGAAGACGGCCUUAUGGGUUGUAAACUACUUUUAUCACAGGAAGAAACGUACCCUCGUGAGGGUGCCUGACGGUACUGUAGGAAUAAGCACCGGCUAACUCCGUGCCAGCAGCCGCGGUAAUACGGAGGGUGCGAGCGUUAUCCGGAUUUAUUGGGUUUAAAGGUCCGUAGGCGGAUUAAUAAGUCAGUGGUGAAAUCCCAUCGCUUAACGAUGGAACUGCCAUUGAUACUGUUAGUCUUGAAUGAGGGUGCAGUGGUUGGAAUGUGUAGUGUAGCGGUGAAAUGCAUAGAUAUUACACAGAACACCGAUUGCGAAGGCAGAUCACUAACCCUAAAUUGACGCUGAGGGACGAAAGCGUGGGGGAGCGAACAGGAUUAGAUACCCU
rnacentral:rRNA from 1 species